GCGGGCGUGGCCGAUUGGUUAGGCACCUGCCUUCCAAGCAGAGUAAGCGGGUUCGAUUCCCGCCGCCCGCUCCA
rnacentral:tRNA from 1 species